GGCGGCGGCGCAUGCGCGGGGCGGGGGUGACUUUGAGGCGGCGCCAUGUUGAGCAGGGUGCUGGGGCCGCGCUACGCCCAGCUGCUGCAGAACUGGACUCCCACCCUUGUCACAUGGGGUGGUGUAGCUGGUGCUGGCGUAAUAUGGAUCACAGACUGGAAGCUCGUCCUUCAGUAUGUGCCCUACAUCGGUGGCAAGUAUAAAAAUGAAGACUAAGCGUCCCUCUAACGGUGAGUUUGCUUUGUGCACCUGGCAGCUUAAGUGGCAGAGGUGUGUGGAUGUGACAGUUGGCGUGCCUCGUUUCUCCGGGGCACAGCCAAAUUGUUGGUCCAAAACAGUGCUGCUUAAUCUGGUGUUAUUCAGUGCUUAUUGCUUUGUCUUGUCUUGUUUUAUGGGCAGGGCUUCUCAGAGUGCCAAAGGAUGAAAUAUUAAUAAGAGUCUUAUUCUCAAGUGAUUAUUUGGUAAGCAGUGGAUUUUUCACAGUUUACCGAGAUUCUUGAGAAGCCAAAUAAAGCCUUUUGUGGUAAUUUGGAACUUCUGAGGGAGCCACUUGCUUCUAAUCUUAGCUAGAAUGGCUUCAAGCUCAAGACUGGUUUUGUUGUCAGGCAAAUUCGGAUGCCUUUCUGUUCCAUGGAGUUACUAAAACUAAGCUAGGCGUUCUGUGCUGGUUACUAUAUACAAAAAAAUCAUUUGAAAAUGGGCUUUCUCGAGGUGUUUUUUCCUCUCCCUUUCUAACUGCAUAUGAAAUACACUGUUUUUUUGUAAGUUCUUGUAAGUUUUGAGGCUUUGGGGAGACUGACCAUCCAUAAAGCUAGAGCAGCAAUUACAGUACCUGCUGUUGGGCCUCUGAAUACACACACGUGUAGUAAGCAGGCUUAGAACUAGUUCAUUCCUUGCUGCAGAUAUAAGAAUUUUGAAGACUUUGCCUUACAUUAAAGGAUGCUGACAGGAAGAGGCCGACAAGAAGCUGUAUGCCCCUCCAUAUUUGCUGCUGCUUCUCAGAAUAACUUACGUAUAAACGUUGGUAGAUGAAAGUAAGGGGCUUGCCUUCAAGCUACACAACUUCAUAGAGAAACCAGUCACAGGAAAGAACAUUAGUACUUCUGUAAGGCUUUUUUGCAGAGGUACCUGUUGGAUUGUAAAUGCUUUACUGUGUCUUCCCUGUUUUCAAAGUGUGCAUCAAACAGGUUAUUUGUUCCUCAGCGUAACCAAAGGAUGAAAGAAAUUUUUCAUGAAACUCAGCUGUGCUCGUAGUAUCUCAGGUGACUGUGGAAGUUUGUGGAGAAGUCAGCGGAAAAGCUCUCAGGAAAUUUAUUGCUGGAUUGAGUGUUUCGGAGCCAUCCGUCCGCUGAGACCUGCUUUGAGGUGAACUUGAAAUGCCUGGUACAGAUUCUGCAACGGGCUGUCACGUCCCGCUCUCUGCCGUGAGCAGUUGUGGCCACUUGGUUGUGAGCGGAUUUUACUUCACGUACCAGCCUGCCUAGUGCUCUUCUCAUCACUUCCACAGCUGGUCUUGGCGUAAUGCAAGUAAUUUGUAAAGCUGAUGUACAAAAUAAACCAAGUGAAUGAUG